rnacentral:rRNA from 1 species
UACAGAGGGUGCGAGCGUUAAUCGGAAUUACUGGGCGUAAAGGGCGCGUAGGCGGUUUUGUAAGUUGGAUGUGAAAGGCCCGGGCUUAACCUGGGAGUUGCAUCUAAUACUGUAAGACUAGAGUCGUGUAGAGGGGUGUGGAAUUUCCGGUGUAGCGGUGAAAUGCGUAGAUAUCGGGAGGAACACCAGAUGCGAAGGCGGGUCACUGGGCUGAUACUGACGCUGAAGCGCGAAAGCCAGGGGAGCGAACGGG